rnacentral:snRNA from 1 species
GGAUGUGAGGGAGAUUUGGCUGUGACAUCUGUCACCCCAUUGAUCGCCAGGGUUGAUUCGGCUGAUCUGGUUGGCUGGGUGGGUGUCCCCUUCCUCCCCCACCGCUCCAUGUGCAUCGUUCAGGAAGCUGCGCGCUCUGUCGAAUAGGACAGCCUUCCCCAAUAGAGACUGACUGGUCUUCAAACCAGGGUAUAGGAGUAGCUGCACUCCCCUGCUAGAACCUCCAAACAAGCUCUCAAGGUCUAUCAGAUAACAAUAGAAAGGAAGGAAGGAAGGAAGGAAGGAA